GAGCCCUUGUAAGGUCAGUCCUGUACCUUAAGGAUCUAAAACACAAGGUUAAAAAAGGACUCUCCAUGAAACCCCAGACAAGAGGCUGUGCACCUACACUUUGGAUCCUUUCUGGAGUCACAGAU